AUGAUUCUAGGACCUGGAAUCAUACCAGCCGAUGGGUGGUGGUUUAUCGCUCGUUCAGCUGACGGCGGUCAUUUGAUGCUCAUUCGCACGUACCAAAUUGACCAAACCAUUACAUCAAACCACAUGCAGUACAAUGUGUGGGGCGUUCGUGACAUUGAUGGCUAUGUACCAUAUAACUGGAAUUACCGAUGCAAGUCGAAGAAGGAUUGGCCGGUGCUGCCGGCUGGCGUCAAGUUCGAUCCCACGGAUCAGGAGUUGAUCGAGCACCUUGAGGCCAAAGUGAGUGCUGACAGCGCGAGAUUUCAGUCUCUCAUCGAUUUGUUCAUACCAACCAUCGACAGCGAGCACGGCAUAUGCUACACCCAACCUGAGAAACUUCCAGCGCAAUUCCAGGGCGUUCAAAAGGGGCACGUGGACGCGUCGCAAGAUACAGUUGGAGUGUGGCAUGCACGCGAUGUGGCACAAGACCGGCAAUACCUUGUCGGUGAUGGUCAAUGGCCGGCAAGACGGGCAGCAAAAAAGGUUCUGGUGUUGCACACCAACAAGAACUUUGACCAGCAGAGGACCAACUGGGUGAUGCACCAGUACCACCUCGGGGACCUGGAGCAAGAGAAGGAGCGGGAGCUGGUCCUCUGCAAGAUUUUCUACCAGACGAACACUAGGGCCAGGAGUCGAGCAAGUUUCAACUGGGCUGUAGACUACCCAGGGUUGGUUUUGUUUUUAACAGGCCCAGCCCAUGACGACAACAGGGCACAAAGAUCCAGUAGUUCAUAG
rnacentral:rRNA from 1 species